rnacentral:rRNA from 1 species
AUGGAUAGAGUCAACACCAGAGAUUUGUUGUGCAGACGACACUUCAACAUAGGGGAUGACCACUCAUGCCUACUCUGCAACUUAGAGCCACUGGAAACAAACAAACACAUGUUCUUCACAUGCACAUUCAGUAGGAUUUGUUGGCAAUCAAUAAACAUAAAUUGGGACACCAAUAUGGAGAUGCAGGACAUGUUUGACCAUGCAGCACAAACCUGGCAGCAACCACUGUUCAAGGAAAUUGCUAUCUUGGCAGCUUGGAACAUAUGGAAACAAAGAAACAGGUUGUGUUUUGAGAAGAUCCCUGCAUCCCUACAAGACUGGAAGAGAGCUCUUCAGUCUGAUCUAUAUAUUCUAAAAUUUAGAGUUGCCCCUGAGGUGGCAGAUUUUCUAGACAUUUUUGUACCAAACCUAGCCUUGUAA